CGCGAAGUUUUGUAAGAGUCAUAGCAAUUUCUCCCAUGAUACAAAAAUAACCACAGGAAUCAGGUAAAAUAACUUGUCGAUCAUCAACGAGGGAAACUUCAAACUUGUGCGAGAACAUAUCCAUCCAAGGGGGAAGUAUUUGUUCAAGAAAUACACGAACAUGUUCAGCUUUCGUUUCUUUAUAAAUCUCAAUAAGUUCUAGGCAAGAACGAAACAGUUUAAUUCCUCUAGCUUGCAACAUCCUCAUGGAAUCAUUAGGGGGAGCGGAAAAUAUAAACUGAUAGAGAAUGGAUGCAAGUUGAGGUGCAAUAAUAAAGAACUGUUCUUCAACAAGGGACUCAUCUACAAGCUCGUCCAGAACAUCCAGUGAAGCAUUAAUAGAGUUUUCAUUAGUAGAUUGUAAAAGAUGCAGAACGGCCGGUACAACUUCUGGCCAUUCAUCGGGAUAAUCCACGUUUGCAAUUAGAGAAACAGCAUAUGCCACAGCCUUGAUUAAAGUGAAAUUGUCAAGGCUCACUAAAAGAUGUAAUAGUGUUUCUCUGACAUGUUUUUUGACAUUUUCAUCGGGUAUCGGUCCAUCUUGAAAUUGCUCAAACAGUGGAGACCAAUGGUGAACAAUAUAUCUUUGUAAAUAAAUGAGAGAACCUUGUCUUAAAGGAACAGAAGCACCAG